rnacentral:tRNA from 1 species
GACUAGGUGGCGGAAUCAGCAGACGCGCGUGCCUCAGAAGCACGAGCCGCAAGGCGUUGAGGGUGCGAGUCCCUCCCUGGUCA